UAGGGAAUUGUUCGCAAUGGGCGCAAGCCUGACGACGCAACGCCGCGUGGAGGAUGAAGAUCUUCGGGUCGUAAACUCCUUUCGAUCGAGACGAAUUCCUCGGGGGUGAAUAAUCUCCGAGGUUGACGGUACCGAGAGAAGAAGCCCCGGCUAACUCCGUGCCAGCAGCCGCGGUAAUACGGGGGGGGCAAGCGUUGUUCGGAAUUACUGGGCGUAAAGGGCUCGUAGGCGGCCAACUAAGUCAGACGUGAAAUCCCUCGGCUUAACCGGGGAACUGCGUCUGAUACUGGAUGGCUCGAGUUUGGGAGAGGGAUGCGGAAUUCCAGGUGUAGCGGUGAAAUGCGUAGAUAUCUGGAGGAACACCGGUGGCGAAGGCGGCAUCCUGGACCAACACUGACGCUGAGGAGCGAAAGCCAGGGGAGCAAACGGGAUUAGAUACCCCCGUAGUCC
rnacentral:rRNA from 1 species